GGCGAGAUGGCCGAGCGGUCUAAGGCGCCAGACUAAGGUUAUCAUACCUGGUGAUAUCUGGUCCGAAAGGGCGUGGGUUCGAAUCCCACUCUCGUCA